rnacentral:rRNA from 1 species
GACGAACCGUGCGAACGUUAUUCGGAAUGACUGGGCUUAAAGCGCGUGUAGGCGGGCCGGCACGUCGGUCGCUGAAAUCCCCCGGCUCAACCGGGGAACGGGCGCCGAUACGACCGGCCUGGAGGGGGGUAGGGGGAGCCGGAACUUCCGGUGGAGCGGUGAAAUGCGUUGAGAUCGGAAGGAACGCCCGUGGCGAAAGCGGGCUCCUGGACCCCGCCUGACGCUGAGACGCGAAAGCCAGGGGAGCGAACGGG